rnacentral:lncRNA from 1 species
GGAGAAACCUAGGUCAAAUCCAGUGCCAUGUUGGGUCUAGUUGGUCUUAGUCUUAGCUUGGCCCACACCCUGGUUGUGCAGAGUCUUACAGCCUCAAGCUUCUGCAGCUACUUCAACAGUUUUCCUUUUGCUAAUCAGGUUAAACUGCUGCUGGCAAUUUUCUAUUCUCCUGCAACCACCCUGAAUGACCCCUGUCUCAGGGGGACACAGGCACAGGCCCUUACAUGCUUACUCCUGGAAAGGAUGCAAGAAACCUAUGCUCACUUCUCAUAGCCCAAGGGACAUGCAAGGGGCAGUGGCAUCCUCAUGCAAGCUGGUCUACUGGUGGCUGCCCCUGUGACCUGCUUCUGAAUGGCCAGGCAGGAAAAGUCUCCCACUGUGUUGCAUUUAAAGAAAAGAAAAAGAUGAAUUAAGUAAAAAGCUCUGCAAACAACUGAGUGUAAUUAUUGGAUAUGUAUAAACUUAUGCAUAUUUUCCUUUUUUUAAUUAUACUUUAAGUUCUAGGGCACAUGUGCACAACGUGCAGGUUAGUUACAUAUGUAUACAUGUGCCAUGUUGGUGUGCUGCACCCAUUAACUCGUCAUUUAACAUUCGGUAUAUCUCCUAAUGCUAUCCCUCCCCCCUCCCCCCACCCCACAACAGGCCCUGGUAUGUGAUGUUCCCCUUCCUGUGUCCAUGUGUUCUCAUUGUUCAAUUCCC